rnacentral:tRNA from 1 species
GGGGCUAUAGCUCAGCUGGGAGAGCGCUUGCAUGGCAUGCAGGAGGUCAGCGGUUCAAUCCCGCUUAGCUCCACCA